CCCAGGUGCCUCUCUUCCAUGGCAUAAUUUGUUUAGCUGAAGCUUCUUGCCAAGAAACAUUUCUCUUAGGAGAAAACUCAGCAAACACAACUGCAGAGGCAAUUAGCUUUAUUAUAAUUAUUGUACUUGCCUAGUAACCACCACACAAAUGCCUGGAAUCCAUCAUUCUCACUCAAGCUGGACUGGGAAGUCUAGGAAAUAAGAAAAUUCUUACCACCUGCUUUGCUGACAUAAAAGUGCAAAUAAAUAUCCCCACAGACACCAGGGCAAUGGAGGUAUAUUUGAAUAUACUGUAUCUGC
rnacentral:lncRNA from 1 species